CUGCUCAAUGAUUUUUUAAAUUGCUGUGGUAUUUUGACUAUACGAAGGUAUUGAAAUAAGAUUUUAAAUGAGUGCUAAGAGAAUGGUUUAACAAUUAAAAACUUUCUUUGAUUAAAUAAUUAAAUUUAAUUUUUUGGUGCAAAAGCAAAAAUAAAAUUUAGGGACAAGAAGACCCUAUGAAUUUUGAUUUAAUUAUUUAUUAUUUUUUUUAAGAAUAAUUAAAUUUAAUUGGGGUGAUUUAAAAAGAAUAAAUAUCUUUUAUUAAAAUAUUAUGAAAUUGGUUCCGUUUAUAACGAUUGAUUGAAAAAGAUACUCUAGGGAUAACAGCGUAAUAAUUUUGGAUAGUUCAUAUAGAUAAAAUAGUUUGCGACCUCGAUGUUGGAUUAGGAUUCUUUUUUGGUGAAGAAGUUUAAAAAAGAAGUUUGUUCAACUUUUGAAUUCCUACUUGAUCUGAGUUCAGACCGG
rnacentral:rRNA from 1 species